rnacentral:rRNA from 1 species
AACGAACGCUGGCGGCAGGCCUAACACAUGCAAGUCGAGCGGGGGAGCAAUCCCUAGCGGCGGACGGGUGAGUAACGCGUGGGAACGUACCCUUUGCUUCGGAAUAGCCCCCGGGAAACUGGGAGUAAUACCGGAUGUGCCCUACGGGGGAAAGAAUUUCGGCAAAGGAUCGGCCCGCGUUGGAUUAGGUAGUUGGUGGGGUAAUGGCCUACCAAGCCGACGAUCCAUAGCUGGUUUGAGAGGAUGAUCAGCCACACUGGGACUGAGACACGGCCCAGACUCCUACGGGAGGCAGCAGUGGGGAAUCUUAGACAAUGGGCGCAAGCCUGAUCUAGCCAUGCCGCGUGAGCGAUGAAGGCCUUAGGGUUGUAAAGCUCUUUCGUGGGGGAAGAUAAUGGCGGUACCCCAAGAAGAAGCCCCCGGCUAACUACGUGCCAGCAGCCGCGGUAAU